UACGAAGGGGGCUAGCGUUGUUCGGAAUUACUGGGCGUAAAGCGCGCGCAGGCGGUCCUUCAAGUCAGAGGUGAAAGCCCAGAGCUCAACUCUGGAAUGGCCUUUGAGACUAGAGGACUUGGGUACGGGAGAGGUGAGUGGAAUUCCGAGUGUAGAGGUGAAAUUCGUAGAUAUUCGGAAGAACACCAGUGGCGAAGGCGGCUCACUGGCCCGUUACCGACGCUCAGGCGCGCCAGCGUGGGGAGCAAACAGG
rnacentral:rRNA from 1 species